rnacentral:rRNA from 1 species
UACAGAGGGGGCAAGCGUUGUUCGGAAUUACUGGGCGUAAAGGGCGCGUAGGCGCCUUCUAAGUCGAACGUGAAAUCCCCGGGCUCAACCCGGGAACUGCGUCCGAUACUGGAAGGCUUGAAUCCGGGAGAGGGAUGUGGAAUUCCAGGUGUAGCGGUGAAAUGCGUAGAUAUCUGGAGGAACACCGGUGGCGAAGGCGGUUCUCUGGGCAUUACCUGACGCUGAG